GACGAACGCUGGCGGCGUGCUUAACACAUGCAAGUCGAACGGAAAGGCCCUGCUUUUGUGGGGUGCUCGAGUGGCGAACGGGUGAGUAACACGUGAGUAACCUGCCCUUGACUUUGGGAUAACUUCAAGAAACUGGGGCUAAUACCGGAUAGGAGCUCCUGCUGCAUGGUGAGGGUUGGAAAGUUUCGGCGGUUGGGGAUGGACUCGCGGCUUAUCAGCUUGUUGGUGGGGUAGUGGCUUACCAAGGCUUUGACGGGUAGCCGGCCUGGGAGGGUGACCGGCCACAUUGGGACUGAGAGACGGCCCAGACGCCUACGGGAGGCAGCAGUGGGGAAUAUUGCACAAUGGGCGGAAGCCUGAUGCAGCAACACCGCGUGCGGGAUGACGGCCUUCGGGUUGUAAACCGCUUUCGCCUGUGACGAAGCGUGAGUGACGGUAAUGGGUAAAGAAGCACCGGCUAACUACGUG
rnacentral:rRNA from 1 species